rnacentral:rRNA from 1 species
GACGAACGCUGGCGGCGUGCCUAAUACAUGCAAGUAGAACGCACAGGAUGCACCGUAGUUUACUACACCGUAUUCUGUGAGUUGCGAACGGGUGAGUAACGCGUAGGUAACCUGCCUGGUAGCGGGGGAUAACUAUUGGAAACGAUAGCUAAUACCGUAUAAGAACAUUUACUGCAUGGUAGAUGUUUAAAAGGUGCAAGAGCAUCACUACCAGAUGGACCUGCGUUGUAUUAGCUAGUUGGUGAGGUAACGGCUCACCAAGGCAACGAUACAUAGCCGACCUGAGAGGGUGAUCGUCCACACUGGGACUGAGACACGGCCCAGACUCCUACGGGAGGCAGCAGUAGGGAAUCUUCGGCAAUGGGGGGAACCCUGACCGAGCAACGCCGCGUGAGUGAAGAAGGUUUUCGGAUCGUAAAGCUCUGUUGUUAAGGAAGAACGUGUGUGAGAGUGGAAAGUUCACACAGUGACGGUACUUAACCAGAAAGGGACGGCUAACUACGUGCCAGCAGCCGCGGUAAUACGUAGGUCCCGAGCGUUGUCCGGAUUUAUUGGGCGUAAAGCGAGCGCAGGCGGUUAGAUAAGUCUGAAGUGAAAGGCAGUGGCUCAACCAUUGUAGGCUUUGGAAACUGUUUAACUUGAGUGCAGAAGGGGAGAGUGGAAUUCCAUGUGUAGCGGUGAAAUGCGUAGAUAUAUGGAGGAACACCGGUGGCGAAAGCGGCUCUCUGGUCUGUAACUGACGCUGAGGCUCGAAAGCGUGGGGAGCGAACAGG